rnacentral:rRNA from 1 species
UGGGGAAUUUUGGACAAUGGGGGAAACCCUGAUCCAGCCAUCCCGCGUGUGCGAUGAAGGCCUUCGGGUUGUAAAGCACUUUUGGCAGGAAAGAAACGUCAUGGGUUAAUACCCCGUGAAACUGACGGUACCUGCAGAAUAAGCACCGGCUAACUACGUGCCAGCAGCCGCGGUAAUACGUAGGGUGCAAGCGUUAAUCGGAAUUACUGGGCGUAAAGCGUGCGCAGGCGGUUCGGAAAGAAAGAUGUGAAAUCCCAGAGCUCAACUUUGGAACUGCAUUUUUAACUACCGGGCUAGAGUGUGUCAGAGGGAGGUGGAAUUCCGCGUGUAGCAGUGAAAUGCGUAGAUAUGCGGAGGAACACCGAUGGCGAAGGCAGCCUCCUGGGAUAACACUGACGCUCAUGCGCGAAAGCGUGGGGAGCAAACAGG